rnacentral:sRNA from 1 species
AACUAUUCAUGGGCACUCACAGCAAGGCAACCCCAUCUUGUAGGAGGGCAUCUGUCCCCAGGGCAGGGAUCAGGAGACCUGUUUCCAGAGGCUUCCAGGGUAACUUGGAGCAAAUCACUUACCUUUCUUGGACUCAGUCCCUGGAAGAAGAGGCCAUUCCAGACCGCUUCCUCCCACGAACUCAUUCAUUCUGUCAGCAAACGUAGACUGGGGUUCUGCUGAGGGAGGCCGAUACAACCCACCACUGCCCACGGGCUGUGCACGGCUUUGCUGUGGGAACAGGCCUGUAACUGCGGCACAACCUGCGAUCUGGACAAAGGGCAGAGGAAGCUGAGACUCUUUCCCCUGGGGUGGGGGCUUGAGGGGCUUGGGAGGACUCUCCAGAAGAGGUGACAUUUCAACAGGGCCUUGAAAGCCAAAUAGUCCGCUCCCAUGUACCAGUACCUGGAUAGGAAACUGUUCAAGGAAGCCUACCAGAUUGCUUGCUUGGGUGUCACAGACACUGAUUGGCGUGAACUGGCCAUGGAAGCGCUAGAAGGUUUAGAUUUUGAAACAGCAAAGAAGGCCUUCAUCAGAGUACAAGACCUCCGAUAUUUAGAGCUCAUCAGCAGCAUUGAGGAUUUCCUUGGAUCUGGAGACCCCAAAGAAACAAAGAUGCUAAUCACCAAACAGGCUGACUGGGCCAGAAAUAUCAAGGAGCCCAAAGCCGCCGUGGAGAUGUACAUCUCAGCAGGAGAGCACGUCAAGGCCAUCGAGAUCUGUGGUGACCAUGGCUGGGUUGACAUGUUGAUCGACAUCGCCCGCAAGCUGGACAAGGCUGAGCGCGAGCCCCUGCUGCUGUGCGCUACCUACCUCAAGAAGCUGGACAGCCCUGGCUAUGCUGCUGAGACCUACCUGAAGAUGGGUGACCUCAAGUCCCUGGUGCAGCUGCACGUGGAGACCCAGCGCUGGGAUGAGGCCUUUGCUUUGGGUGAGAAGCAUCCUGAGUUUAAGGAUGACAUCUACGUGCCGUAUGCUCAGUGGCUAGCAGAGAACGAUCGCUUUGAGGAAGCCCAGAAAGCGUUCCACAAGGCUGGGCGACAGAGAGAAGCGGUCCAGGUGCUGGAGCAGCUCACAAACAAUGCCGUAGCAGAGAGCAGGUUUAAUGAUGCUGCCUAUUAUUACUGGAUGCUGUCCAUGCAAUGCCUCGAUAUAGCUCAAGAUCCUGCCCAGAAGGACACAAUGCUUGGCAAGUUCUACCACUUCCAGCGUUUGGCAGAGCUGUACCAUGGUUACCAUGCCAUCCAUCGCCACACGGAAGAUCCGUUCAGUGUCCAUCGUCCUGAAACUCUUUUCAACAUCUCCAGGUUCCUGCUGCACAGCCUUCCCAAGGACACCCCCUCGGGCAUCUCUAAAGUGAAAAUACUCUUCACCUUGGCCAAGCAGAGCAAGGCCCUCGGUGCCUACAGGCUGGCCCGGCACGCCUAUGACAAGCUGCGUGGCCUGUACAUCCCUGCCAGAUUCCAAAAGUCCAUUGAGCUGGGUACCCUGACCAUCCGCGCCAAGCCCUUCCACGACAGUGAGGAGUUGGUGCCCUUGUGCUACCGCUGCUCCACCAACAACCCGCUGCUCAACAACCUGGGCAACGUCUGCAUCAACUGCCGCCAGCCCUUCAUCUUCUCCGCGUCUUCCUACGACGUGCUACACCUGGUUGAGUUCUACCUGGAGGAAGGGAUCACUGAUGAAGAAGCCAUCUCCCUCAUCGACCUGGAGGUGCUGAGACCCAAGCGGGAUGACAGACAGCUAGAGAUUGCAAACAACAGCUCCCAGAUUCUGCGGCUAGUGGAGACCAAGGACUCCAUCGGAGAUGAGGACCCGUUCACAGCUAAGCUGAGCUUUGAGCAAGGUGGCUCAGAGUUCGUGCCAGUGGUGGUGAGCCGGCUGGUGCUGCGCUCCAUGAGCCGCCGGGAUGUCCUCAUUAAGCGAUGGCCCCCACCCCUGAGGUGGCAAUACUUCCGCUCGCUGCUGCCUGACGCCUCCAUUACCAUGUGCCCCUCCUGCUUCCAGAUGUUCCAUUCUGAGGACUAUGAGUUGCUGGUGCUUCAGCAUGGCUGCUGCCCCUACUGCCGCAGGUGCAAGGACGACCCUGGCCCAUGACCAGCAUCCUGGGGACGGCCUGCACCCUCUGCCCGCCUUGGGGUCUGCUGGGCUGUGAAGGAGAAUAAAGAGUUAAACUGUCAGAAUGUG